rnacentral:rRNA from 1 species
ACUGGCCGGUUACUAAAAAUAACAAUUUAAAACCUAAAGAACUUGGCGGUGUCUUAUCAUACCAGGGGAACCUGUUCCUUAAUUCGAUAAUCCACGAAACCACUACCACUAAUUGAAUAAUACAGCUUGUAUACUGCCGUCAUCAGCAUACCUUAAAAAGAUAUAGUAUGCAAUAAUAAAUUAAAAUUAAUUAUGUCAGGUCAUAGUACAGCCUAUCUAGUGGAGGAAAUGGGUUACAAUCAUUUAUAUAGAUACCAAAAAUAAAACUAAAGUUUUAUCAAAAGGUGGACUUGGCAGUAAUGAUAAUAUAGAAUAUUAUCAUGAAAAAAGAUCUAAGACAUGCACACAUCGCCCGUCACUCCCCUCUAAAGAGG